rnacentral:rRNA from 1 species
GUAGGGAAUCUUCCACAAUGGACGAAAGUCUGAUGGAGCAACGCCGCGUGAGUGAAGAAGGUCUUCGGAUCGUAAAACUCUGUUGUUAGAGAAGAACGUACAUGAUAGUAACUGAUCAUGUAAUGACGGUAUCUAACCAGAAAGCCACGGCUAACUACGUGCCAGCAGCCGCGGUAAUACGUAGGUGGCAAGCGUUGUCCGGAUUUAUUGGGCGUAAAGGGAACGCAGGCGGUUUUUUAAGUCUGAUGUGAAAGCCUUCGGCUUAACCGAAGAAUAGCAUUGGAAACUGGAAGACUUGAGUGCAGAAGAGGAGAGUGGAAUUCCAUGUGUAGCGGUGAAAUGCGUAGAUAUAUGGAGGAACACCAGUGGCGAAAGCGGCUCUCUGGUCUGUAACUGACGCUGAGGUUCGAAAGCGUGGGUAGCAAACAGGAUUAGAAACCCUUGUAGUCC